UGGGCCGUAUGUCCGGCAGUAUUCCUUUGGGUGGGACCAUCCUGGAGGGCGCACAUCAGAAGAGGGGAGAGGCCCAGAAGCGGCCUCCGGCUCGGCCGCCGCUGGCGCCCGCGCCCCGCCCCCGCAGCCGGAUGUUGUGAUUUCUCUCCACUCACACUGCCUCGCCCGCCCUCGGCCUCUGCUGCCUUAUAAGGCAGCACUACCACCCCGAGAGGAUGGGGUGAGCUCACGCCCAUUAUACAGGUGGGGAGCUGAGGCGCCGGAGGUCCUGUGCCUGAAAAGAAAACAAGGCCGAAAUUUUACAGCUAAUCAACACCUUCUAGCUCAACAUCCUACUCCCUCCACCCUCACUUCACACACCAGGAAACGGACUUAACCCAGACUCAGCGAGUAAGGCAGAACCGGAUUCAACUAGGCUUCUGACCCCAAGAGGAAGGAGUCAAUUAGGGACCUCAACAGGAAGAGACACACCUUACAUGUUGGUACUACUUUACUCCAGCAGGAGGAAGGAAGAUUUCCCUUCUUGCCCAGCAACUCAGCGGACCCACACCCCAGCUGUAGAAGACAGAAGCCAGGGCAAGAAGAUAGAUGGUGCCUUUCUGCUCUGGUCCAAAGCAGUUGAUGGAGGAGCCCCAGAUGUGCAGGGAGGACUGCGGCAGAUGUGUAGAAAUUGCUGACAAGGGGGAGGGUGUUCACAGGGAGAAAUUUCUUUGUAAACUUCUGUAGCUUGAACCCCAACCGCAUGCCAGGCUCUGCCUUUUCACAUGCAUCCCCAUGCCAACAUCUCACUAUCUCUGCCAGGCAGUGUGAGUGCCCAUCCUUCCCUCUGGAGGGGUGGCAAUUAAGGUUCAGAGAGGCUGAGCCCUGACCCAGCAUUUUGCUGGGGGCUCAGUGGCCAAGAUGGGAUUUGAAGAUUUCUUGAUUCAAGAUUAUUGUUGUUUUUCUACCUACAGUCCCUGCUUCUAAGGCCAUUAUUUUCUUAUUCUUUAAGCUACUGAUUUACAGAGCUGAUCUUGAGUUUUGUUUUGUUUUGUUU